CCCCCGCCGCCCCAGCCGGCCCGCGGCCAGUGGCCGGCGCUGCCCUGGGCCUCGCUGUACGCUCUGGUGGCGCUGACGCUGCUGGCGCUCGCCACGCCCGCGCUCUACCUGCUGGCCGACUGCGCCUCCCGCGCCUGCAGGCGGACGCCCGCCCACGGCGACGACAAGUGGAGUCUCAUUGGCCACGAGGAGGCCGGCGUGCACACCACCGACCUGCCAGAUUCACGGCAGCACAUACUACAAGAGACGCUUCACGAAUCGAAGAGGCCACUCGAAGUGCAAGCUUGACUCCUCUGACCUCAACUCUGGUGAGGGCUGUCAGCUGGAAUUCAGCUGAACUACUGAGGAGUGUCUGGAACCACGUCUAGUCAACUACUUCGAGCGUUUUCUCAACAGUGGACGCCGAUAGAAUGGAAGGAUUCCUCCUGUACAUAUUACCAUAGGCUUCGUUUUAGUGAUUGUGUUGUGUGUAACCUUGUCAGACAGAAAAAAGACAAAAUACACCUUUGUAAAGUGACUGGUACGUGAGCGACUUGAAUGCUUUGCUUAUGAUGGAUUAGCAUGGACUGCCAAAAUAUAGAACAAAGUUAUCAGUGCUGAGCCGCAAUGUGCAAGUGUUCUUUCAAGGAAAAUUGUUCAACUGAUGUCGAUUGUAGAUAACUGGUAAUGCAAUGUGUGAGCUUAGCAGACUUUACGUUUGUGAGAGGUGUUUGUUGUAUAAAUUGUAUAUCUAAUGAGAUUGACACUGUUUAUUAAUUGUUUUGUAUUACCUCUCGAAUGAGAACUAGAAGCAUGGUCACUGUUCCAAAACCUCACAAAUUACAUUGCAGGAUGAAUGUUAUUCGCAAUUUUCCUGUUUACAGAGAGUAACAUUCACUUUCUGGACUCCUAGCAAAAUUCUUCUGCAUAUUUUUCCUGUGUUAUCUUAUUAAUAGGGACUGUAAUCUUCUGAUUUCCUUAGUGUCAUUGUUAAAUAUAUGGUACUGAACACUGUCAUAAAAUCCUAUAACUUACAGUUAAUUUCUUAUGGACAUGUAAUGCCUGAGAAAGAAAACAUAAGUGAACUGUUUUCUACAUGCUCUCUUCAAUAAAACUUUUUUACAAUAUUAUUGAA